CUUGCACGCUGGCGGCAGGCCUAACACAUGCAAGUCGAACGGGAACAGGGAUCAGCUUGCUGAUUGGCUGACGAGUGGCGGACGGGUGAGUAAUGUCUAGGAAACUGCCAGAUGGAGGGGGAUAACUACUGGAAACGGUAGUUAAUACCGCAUAACGACGCAAGACCAAAGAGGGGGAGCUUCGGACCGCUUGCCAUCGGAUUUGACCAGAUGGGAUUAGCUAGUAGGUGGGGUAACGGCUCACCGAGGCGACAAUCCCUAGCUGGUCUGAGAGGAUGACCAGCCACACUGGAACUGAGACACGGUCCCGACUCCUAUGGGAGGCAGCAGUGGGGAAUAUUGCACAAUGGGCGAAAGCCUGAUGCAGCAAUGCCGCGUGUAUGAAGAAGGCCUUCGGGUUGUAAAGUACUUUUAGCGGGGAGGAAGUGAGUAACGUUAAUACCUGUGCUUAUUGACGUUACCCGCAGAAGAAGCCCCGGCUAACUCCGUG
rnacentral:rRNA from 1 species